rnacentral:rRNA from 1 species
CCUACGGGGGGCAGCAGCAAGGAAUUUUGCGCAAUGGGCGAAAGCCUGACGCAGCAACGCCGCGUGGGUGAAGAAGGCCUUCGGGUCGUAAAGCCCUUUUGUUAGGGAAGAAGUUCUGACGGUACCUGACGAAUAAGCCUCGGCUAACUACGUGCCAGCAGCCGCGGUAAUACGUAGGAGGCGAGCGUUAUCCGGAUUUAUUGGGCGUAAAGAGCGCGUAGGCGGCUUAUUAAGUCGGUUGUAAAAUCUCCCGGCUCAACUGGGAGGGGUCAUCCGAAAC